AACGAACGCUGGCGGCAUGCCUAAUACAUGCAAGUCGAACGAUCACUUCGGUGAUAGUGGCGCACGGGUGCGUAACGCGUGGGAAUCUGCCCUUGGGUUCGGAAUAACAGCUGGAAACGGCUGCUAAUACCGGAUGAUGACGUAAGUCCAAAGAUUUAUCGCCCAGGGAUGAGCCCGCGUAGGAUUAGGUAGUUGGUGGGGUAAAGGCCUACCAAGCCUACGAUCCUUAGCUGGUCUGAGAGGAUGAUCAGCCACACUGGGACUGAGACACGGCCCAGACUCCUACGGGAGGCAGCAGUAGGGAAUAUUGGACAAUGGGGGCAACCCUGAUCCAGCAAUGCCGCGUGAGUGAUGAAGGCCUUAGGGUUGUAAAGCUCUUUUACCCGGGAUGAUAAUGACAGUACCGGGAGAAUAAGCCCCGGCUAACUCCGUGCCAGCAGCCGCCGUAA
rnacentral:rRNA from 1 species